rnacentral:rRNA from 1 species
ACGAACGCUGGCGGCGUGCUUAACACCUGCAAGUCGCACGGAAAGGCCCUGCUUGCCGGGUACUCGAGUGGCGAACGGGUGAGUAACACGUGGGUGAUCUGCCCUGCACUUCGGGAUAAGCCUGGGAAACUGGGUCUAAUACCGGAUAGGAGCCAUUUUUAGUGUGAUGGUUGGAAAGUUUUUUCGGUGUAGGAUGAGCUCGCGGCCUAUCAGCUUGUUGGUGGGGUAAUGGCCUACCAAGGCGGCGACGGGUAGCCGGCCUGAGAGGGUGGACGGCCACAGUGGGACUGAGAUACGGCCCAGACUCCUACGGGAGGCAGCAGUGGGGAAUAUUGCACAAUGGGCGCAAGCCUGAUGCAGCGACGCCGCGUGGGGGAUGACGGCCUUCGGGUUGUAAACUCCUUUCGCUAGGGACGAAGCUUUUUGUGACGGUACCUAGAUAAGAAGCACCGGCUAACUACGUG